rnacentral:sRNA from 15 species
CUUCUGAUAUAUACUCGUCGAAUACUCGUAUUAUUAUCCAAUUACUUCAUCAAUAUCCUACACGACCGUUUAAAUUUCAGUUUUCAUCUGUAUUGCAUUGCUUACAAAAUACGGUUUAAGCAAAAUCGGUCAACGGGGGCAAGAGAAUUAGUGUGACCUCGGACUAAGUGCUAAGUGCUAACUUAGCCCACUUGGCUCCCUCUAUUUAAACAGUUGAUCGAUUUGAGCUCCAACACCUGGACGCCUCCGCCCCUUCACUCCUGGACAGCCCUUACCUGGCCAGCAUCCCCUCGAUCCCGUCGAUGGAGUGCCCUGGUGGCCUGGUCUGCCACCACACAUCCCAUAUGGGAGCCACCACCAGCAGCAGCAGAUGAACACAAAGGAGGACGCUCUGGAGGAAGCAAAAGCAGCAACCAACAGCAGACGCCCCAGCAAUUGCAACUGCAAGACCAGCAGGCACUCACGGUAGCACCGACGUCGCCUCUCCAAAAACUGGGGCACGAAGGGAACGGCACACAUUACAAUAUUAUUGGCCGUUUCCGUUUCCAACCCGAUUCAGUUACCAAAACCGUUUCCAUUAAUGUACGACAUAUUUGAAGCUGUGGAAAAGGGUACCAGACUAACAUUUGGUCUAUAUCAAAUACAUAUUAAAAGUAACUUAUCAAUACAAAAUUUAGUACAAGUCCGGGUACGUUAAACUGACCAAACAUGGCAAGCACCCUGCCAAGUAUUUUGAUGGACAGAAAACGGCUGAGACAAGCAUGUCCGGAUGUGUCUUGUUGAUAUUCCCCAAUAAUUGCGGCUAUUUUGUAUUUGUAUUUCACUUUUAGCGGCUGUCCGAAUGUCUUCAGCUUUCGGCUAUUAAAGUGGCUCAGCCGGGAUGGUAGGGCUAAUUUUCGCAGAACCUUGCAGUUCCAAUCAUUACCAUUACAUAACAUGGAACGGAAUUGGCAACAUUCUACAUACCCUGAGGAAAGGGAUAUUAUAGAAUUGAAGAAAUAUUUGUCAUCUAAGUCGGCAAUGAAUGCAGAAUCUAGUCAGUAUAUGUUUAAGGCUAUCACAUCAAAAUUUUGCAGUUUAUUGUUUUAGCACAGAGACCAAGAAUUGGUAUCGGGAUCAGGAUAUGGUAUAUACAGGAAACUAAUUAAAUGCAUGAAAUAAAAUGCAUAAAACAUAUCAAUUUGAGAAAAGGUCUUUAUUAAUUAAUCUUUAAAAAAGCAUCUUCUAUCUUUGAAAUUAACGAAAUAAAGUAUACAAUUGCCCAGACACAGGCUAACAAGCAACAAAUACCAUCAAAAUACCACUUUUCACGAAUCGACAGCAGCAGCAGCAGAAGCAAAAACAACAACACCACCUUCAUUGUUAAUGGAAACACCUCGGGGCAUCAAAACAUCAAGCCCCCUGGCAAGACCCCAAGAAGACCAUUAAUUGAGCACGCCGGCGGCUUUAAUAGUUCUUAAGCAGUUGGGUAUUAGUGUCAGAGGGAAUCAAGUAGAAUGGAGUGGUAUCGAGCGGUAACUUGCAUUGCGUUUCGCAAAUAAAUUUACUUAAUUUAAA